GGAAGGGGUUUUUAUUUUUUUCUGGCUUUUUUUUAUAUUUUGCAAUGCUGUGAGAGUGUUUCCUGUUGAGAGAGAAGCGAUACGAUUUUAUUUGUCAGUCGUGUGGGUUCCUUCCGUCGAGAGAGUGGUCUUUCAUAUUUUUCUGCUCUGUUUGUGUUGUGUUUGUUUCGUUCAAGUGUUUUCCUGGAUGGAUUUUUUUGUGCACGUGGUUUAUUUUUUCGAUGCUCGUAUUUUUUUUGUGGUUGAUUUUUGUUAGUUGUGGGAUUUUGGAAGUAUGGCGUGUCAUGGUAUGGCGUAUCUGGGUUUCGUACGUUUUUUUUUUUAAAUUUGUAUUUCAGCUCUAGAUUAAUUCGUUUUACACUCUACUCUACAGUUUAGAGAUGAGUCGUUGACAUGAAAAGUUUCAGUAGAUUAGAUUCACAAAUUGACAUUUUAUCUGUGUUUGAUUUAUGUUUGGCAACGGUGGUGUUUUUGAUUUCGUGUUGAUUUGCCGCUCUCGUUGUCGGCGCUGCUCUCGCUGUGUUUCCUCUUUCUGGUGUCAUCUGAUAUUUUUUCCUUUUUUUCCAGUUGGUGGUUAUUCCCGAUUCAUGGGAGGUUGGUUCCACCUUUUUUAUCUAUGUUUGUUGUGGCAUGCUUGACCGAAAUUUUGUAGUAGAAGCCUUUGAGAUCCAGGCUUUUGGUCAUUUCAGUGUCGUCAUUCCAGAGGGCAAGUUUCAUCUGAAAGGCUCAAGGAUUCAUCGAAGACAUCCAGUUCCUUUUUGGUGAGCCCGCCCUUGAGUUCAUUUGUUUCCCACUCUUUUCGGAUGAUGGCCUCAACAUCUAAUGGAAGUAUUUAUUAAUGUCUUCUAUUAGAUCGGAGGGCUUUUGAGUUUUUUUUUACAUAUUGCAGAUCCGUGGUUAAGAUCUUGAGUUUCUUUUAGCAUAGUUCUUCUAACCAUGUUUGUUCCUUGAAAGUCAGGUUCUGCGUCCACUUUUUGGAUCUGUGAUAAGUUUUGUUAGAUUAGGUGGGUCUUUUUGUAUACUUUGUUUAUAUAUAUAUUUUUUUUUAAAUUACUUGUGUUCUUUGUGAUAUCACGAUUUCGUGAUUCAAUGGGUAAAUCUGAUCUUUUCUGGUCGCUGCGUUCACUCGGGCAUCUUUUAGUGUAUAAAAUUGUCCUUGCUGGAUGACGUUGAAGUAUUUCUGCGCUUGAUUUGCGAAUGCUACGGUUCUAAUCAUUCCUAAUUUAUCUCGCAGCCCGAAGAAAAAUACUUGGCCGUUGCUUUUAGUAGGAAACAGUCUAGAAAUGCGCUCGACCCUUCCUUUGAUUUUCCAUCUGAAAUGUUAAAUAUUGGUUAGUACUGUAGAUUUAUUUUUAAAAAAAUGAACGUGAUGAAUCGAUCUUACGCGUUGAGUUGAGGAGUGAUUUCGGUGACUUCGUUGUUGGCUCCAUUUGAUUUCGCCGUUGUUUUAUUUUCGCUUGUUCCGGCUGUGGCUUGGUUGUUUACUUCCUCGUCGCUCGAACUGCUGUCGCUCGCUCGAAUCAUUUUGAGGAAUUGUGUGCUGCGUCGAUAGAGCUGAGUGUUAUUUAUAGAUAAGACGCGGUUUAUAGAGUAGUAGACGGUUGUUUGUAAGUCGACGAUGGAUUCGUUGAAAUUGCAAUGAUUUCUUCUUAUUCUUCGGGUUUUUGUUGCUUGGAAGAAGGUUUGUAGAGUAGUAGACGGUUGUUUGUAAGUCGACGAUGGAUUCGUUGAAAUUACGAUUCUUAUUCUUCGGCUUUUGUGGCUUGGAAGACGUAUAAUGUUUUAUUUACGUCUGGGAACUUCUUUGAAUUGAAUCUUUCUUUUUAUGGUACGAUUGUUUCCAAUUUAUCGACGUUUUGUGGUUCAAGGGGAAAAAAAAGUAUGUGAAAAUCGCAGUCGUUCAGCAAACUGAGUUGUGUUCGGUUGGCUUUUAUUUUUCUUGUCCAGGCCAAGGAAAUCGAAAAAUUUCGAGAUGUUUGUGAAAUUUUGCUUUUUUGCAUUUUUUUUCUUGGCUCAUAGUCAAGAUUUGAGUAUUAAUACUGAGGGGCAUGUUUUUGAGCGUGAUUUGGAAACUACUUCAACUACACCUGCUCCGAUGACUACUGUAACUACACCUGCAUCGAUGAUUCCCGAUGUAUCGAGAAACCAGCUUCUUUGCAUUAUUGCAAUUGUUGUAGGGUGUGUGGUUUCCUUUUUCAUUUGUGCUGUUUGUUCUUGUUAUCUCUGUAAGAGAUAUUCUAAGGUAAGAAAGAUGGUAGAUUCUAUUUUUUUUUGUUCAAUAUUAUAUUUGUAUUUUGGUUCUAAAAUUAGAGUGGUCAUGGAGUUCAGUUUCAAAGCCCCUCUUUUCUUUUCAACGCGGGGUCCGGCUUCCGGGAACGCUUGUCGAUGGUGAAAGAAGACCUUUCAUGAAGAUUUUCUUUUUCUGUUGGUGAUUUUAAUUUAUCUAAAAUCCAAGUGUUAUCGUAAUCUGGUUUGUGAAAUUUGUUAAAACGUUGUUUCACCUUGAUUAGUUCUGAAUUUGUACUGUUUUGCAGUAGAAGUCUCGUUGUUUUAAGAUGUAUUUUGGAUAGCUUUGUUUGUUUUAGUUUGUGCGUAUUUGGCGAAGGGUUCUCUGUUGUGGUAUGGUUUGAUGAUUUAUGAUAUAAUUUCUCUAUUCAUAAUGAAUUGUAGGUCAAUUAUUGUAGUCCUUUCAUUGCUUACAAUGGUCCUUAUCUUACUAAG